ensembl:lncRNA
GCAGUGGUACAUCCCUGAUCACCUAAACCUUCACAUUCCUCUUCCAACCACAGUUUUAACCAUCAUAACCAUGCACUAUGUUCUACCCUCCAGGGUCCAUCAGGUCCACAGGGUCCUAUUGGUUAUCCUGGUCCUCGUGGUGUCAAGGGUGCCGAUGGUGUCCGUGGUCUCAAGGGGUCAAAGGGAGAGAAGGGCGAGGAUGGUUUCCCAGGUUUCAAGGGAGAUAUGGGCAUCAAAGGAGACCGGGUGAGGAGCAUCUUCAUACAAAUAUGCAUACAGAUAUCUUCCUACAUGUCCAAUCAGAUCUUCUGUUACAACUGAUGUCUGUACGUCAUUGUGAUAUUCUUUGUAUGCGUUUGUGUUAUAGGGUGAGCUUGGCAUGCUUGGGUCCCGUGGAGAGGAUGGUCCUGAGGGUCCUAAAGGCCGAGGUGGCCCCAACGGAGAAUCAGGUCCCCUUGGUCCUGCUGGAGAAAAGGUAAUGGGGCUCAAUGACCAAGGAUGUUGGAAAGCCAGUACAAGAAUUAUAUAUUUCUAUCUCAGUUGUUUUUCUUUUGCUUUCAUUGUGUUCUCAUUGUGUUGCUUGCCUGAUGACUUGUGCUGUUGAUUUCUCUCAGGGUAAACUGGGCGUUCCAGGAUUACCAGGUUAUCCAGGAAGACAAGGACCAAAGGUAACUAAGCAUCACUCUCACCACAAUAAGGGAUGCUUUUUUGACUGUGAUUUUUUCUGAAUUUUCUGAAUACUGUGGCACAACACAACAGACCAAAACCUUCAAUAAUUUCACAUAAAAUGUACAAUAAACUGAAUAGUUGGAAACUGUUCAUAGUAAAAACACUUAUCUUUUUAAGAUAACCCAUUGUAGUGCAGGACCAGUACAGCGUGACAGUCAAAGGAGAUAAGUGUGAGCUGCCUUCCUGAGGAGCAGGAUGGCUUUAGUGCUGAUCAUUUAUGCAAUACAUGUUUAACACCAUGCUUUAAUGUAAUACUUUAAAGUGACAGUUCUUGAAAUGAAGCAUGCCUAAUAUUAUUUUGAAAGAUGGUAACUGUAGAAAUAUUGGUACGUCUUUCUGAAAAAGGCACCAUUUCCAAAGGUUUUAUAAUCAGUAACUAAUAGCUGUAUUAAUGGGCAAUACAUAAUUUAAUGCUUUAUAGAUCAUAUAUGAAAGGCCUUUACAAAGAACAACUUUUGAGUUGCCAGGUUGUAAUAAAAACCUUUGGCUCGUGUUUAUCCUCCAGUGUGACAUCUGUUUUGUCUUUUUAGCUCUUCAAUUAAUCAGAAAGACUCUAAUGGACCACUUAUCUUCUGGGAAGAACUUUUUGAUCAAAAUACAUGCUGUUAACAGCAUAUUAUUUUAACUGCAUUCUUAAUGGCUCUUUAGAAAGUGAGACACUAACAAGCAUUACAAAUAUGUAUUACAAGCAUAUUAGCGAAUAGAAGUUAAAGGAAUACUUUCAAUCCUGGCAUCCCAUAAAUGUCAUCUUAUUAAUUAUUUAUAACUGGUCUGUGAAUAAUUAGUAAAUCAUUUAUUAACCAUUUUUAAAGUCAUUGGUAAUUACGUGACUCCUUAGUUAAGGGCAUCUAAUUGGAAAAUUGUACACAAUUUUUCAUGUCAAUUCUAAACUAAUAAUACUCCUGAUGCAGCAGCUCGCUUGUGUUUCUUGAAAUGAAGACACACCAUAAACACUGUUUCUAUCUGCCCUCCACCACCCCAUAAAAAAGAAAUGUAAGCUAUAGCUGUGAUUGUCCUGGAAGAUAACAGUGC